rnacentral:tRNA from 2 species
GGGCGCGUAGCUCAGUGGGAGAGCGCUCGCUUCACACGCGAGAGGUCGCAGGUUCGAAACCUGCCGCGCCCACCA